UACAGAGGUGGCGAGCGUUGUUCGGAUUUACUGGGCGUAAAGGGUGCGUAGGUGGUCGCCUAUGUCGGGUGUGAAAGCCCACGGCUUAACCGUGGAACGGCAUUCGAAACUGGGUGACUUGAGUGCAGGAAGGGAGAGCGGAAUUCUUGGUGUAGCGGUGAAAUGCGUUGAUAUCAAGAAGAACACCGGUGGCGAAGGCGGCUCUCUGGAAUGCUACUGACACUGAGGCACGAAAGCUGGGGGAGCAAACAGG
rnacentral:rRNA from 1 species